GGGCUUGAAUGACGGGGGCAAGCAGCCUACAUCUGGCCCUGCCAGCUUGCUGGCUAUGGCGAUAAACGGUGCGUGGAAUAAUCGUUGUGGACCCGGGGGCAGUGCCCGGCGCCUCCACCAUUCAUCCCAGGAUAUCGGGACAUCUGGGGGCGAAACAGGCUCGACACGCGUGGUAAAGACCCAUCUUUUGCUCGGCAUUGUACCGCCGUUAUCGGGCUAUAUUAUAAAUGCGAACGAUAACAACGUAGCAUUCGCGGUCGCUGCCUAAACAGCAGCUAAGCGCGGUUCGGGG
rnacentral:tmRNA from 1 species